rnacentral:rRNA from 1 species
GACGAACGCUGGCGGCGUGCUUAACACAUGCGAGUCGAACGGAAAGGCCCUGCUUUUGUGGGGUGCUCGAGUGGCGAACGGGUGAGUAACACGUGAGUAACCUGCCCUUGACUUUGGGAUAACUUCAGGAAACUGGUGCUAAUACCGGAUAGGAGCUCCUGCUGCAUGGUGGGGGUUGGAAAGUUUCGGCGGUUGGGGAUGGACUCGCGGCUUAUCAGCUUGUUGGUGGGGUAGUGGCUUACCAAGGCUUUGACGGGUAGCCGGCCUGAGAGGGUGACCGGCCACAUUGGGACUGAGAUACGGCCCAGACUCCUACGGGAGGCAGCAGUGGGGAAUAUUGCACAAUGGGCGGAAGCCUGAUGCAGCAACGCCGCGUGCGGGAUGACGGCCUUCGGGUUGUAAACCGCUUUCGCCUGUGACGAAGCGUGAGUGACGGUAAUGGGUAAAGAAGCACCGGCUAACUACGUG